UCACCCCUCAAGCCCUUCGGCUUGGUGUUGGACGGUUUGGCGGAGACCACGUCUCCGCCCCUCCCAAAGACAAUGACGGCGGCCUCGUUGGACCCCCGGUACACUGAGUUCUUCACGGGACACGUACUGGACACAAGGGUGCGCGGGGCCCGGUCUGACCUCUCCCUUUCAAGGGGGAACUUUUCUCAAGG
rnacentral:misc_RNA from 1 species